CUAGAGCAGCUGCAGCAUCUCCUCUGGACCCAAAGGAAACUGUCAUCCAGCCAACGGUGGGACCUCACUCUACCUAAGCCAGGGUAAUGGACUCAUGGCAGCCUCCAAAGAUGGCGCCCUUCCCCUGUUAUAAGGAGGUGAAGAGCGCAGAUGAUGUCUUCACCCUCUACUGGAAUGGGCCAAAGGAUGAAAAAUCUGACUCCCUCCUCCUAGCUGGGCAGCGUCCACCAGGAAGUGUGUUUGACUGGUGUUUCUUCUAUUGAUGUUGCAGGCAAGUCUACUCCUACUUGAGUCUUUGAGGGCUUCUUUGUUGGGACUUGGUUGGGAAGACAUGAAGUGUUUUAGAAGAAUGAGUAAGCCACCUGAGAUUUUGGCUAUGUGGAGUUGGGAAAUGCUGACUCUAGUUAGCUUUUAAAACAAAGAGCACCCCCAAACCCCAAUUAUUUUAUUUUAUGGGCAUGUACUACAUAACCCCAGGGUCUGUACCCUCUCUUUCCUUGGCCUACCCCAGUGGAAUCAACCAGAAGCUAUUGAGAUUAGAAUUCUGAAUGGAAAAUGGCAGCUUAUGUGGUCUUAUCCUUUUGGGAUGGGGGUAGGGAUGUG
rnacentral:lncRNA from 1 species